rnacentral:rRNA from 1 species
UACGGGGGGGGCAAGCGUUGUUCGGAAUUACUGGGCGUAAAGGGCGCGUAGGCGGUCUGCUAAGUUGGAUGUGAAAACUCUGGGCUUAACCCAGAGCCUGCAUUCAAUACUGACAGGCUAGAGUUCUGGAGGGGAUAGCGGAAUUCCUGGUGUAGCGGUGAAAUGCGUAGAUAUCGAGAGGAACACCUGCGGCGAAGGCGGGUUGCUGGGCUGACACUGACGCUGAGGCGCGAAAGCUAGGGGAGCGAACGGG